GAGAACAUUAUUUGUUUAGUUAGCGAAUACAAUCAUCAUGCACAUUUAAAUUAUUUAACACACAGUAAAACAAUAAAAUUUAAUAAACGUCUUAUCAACGACAGUUAAUAUUUACAACUACAAUCAACACAUACGAUUUUAAACCUUACACCUAAGACAAAGACUCCAAAAUAGUAUUAAAGAACAUAAAAUCCCACAAUACACUAGCUUCCUAAAAUACGUGAGGAAAUAAAUUGUACAAAUUAAACAGUUGUGUAAGCGAUAUAAUGCGGUAUGGCCUUGUUUUAAGGACGAUAAUGGCGUGUGUUGUUUUGAUAAGGUGUGUUAACUUUACUGGUGUGGUGUGCGUGUAUAUGACAAUGGGCGCUCGAUGUGAGACACAGGUUUACAAACUAAGACUAAAGACAGUCGUAUGCGCAUCGUCGUGGAAAGAAAAUCGUGUGUAAAGAAAUUGUGUAGUGUGGAAAACUUAUGAUUGUAAUAUGAGAACAGUUUUUAAGGAAAAUGUGUUUAAAGGAAAACCUUUAGUGCUAGUGUUUUGGAUUACAUAAAUGCGUCUCCCCAACCGCACAAAUGUGGACCUACUCCAGCGUGGACAUACCAGGGCAGCAUGUCAGCAGAACAGAUCGAAUCAAGAUCUACCUCUCAGAGUGUGUAGUAUGCUUCUGUAUAGUGUUCUUCAUACUAUGUGUUGGACUGCUCCUAUACUUGUUCUUCCAUUUGUACACUACUGUAACUAAUGCUGGCAAACUUGCUGGCACUCUAGCUGAGAGUUAGUGUCAGUAUUGAAAUGAAGACUGAACUUGCGUCAGUAUGUGAUAAUUUAGUUUGUAAGUUGUUUGAUGUCAUGUCGGAUUAGUUGAUAUUAUGUCCAAGGGCAAAUGGUGUAUUAACGCUACUCGAAUGGAAAUGUUAGAGUAUAGGCUUGACAUAAGCUUUCGAUGUAAUUUGUCAACUGUCAGUGUAGAUUUUGUGCAUUCAUUUUAUCUCAAUCGAAUAGGCUAGCGUUUUUGCCAUUUGUUUCCUAGCACUGUAAAAAAACAACCUUUAGUUAUAGGGCGCUUUCCAUCAGAGAUAUGCUAUGUAACUAUGCUACGGAGAUGUAAUAGUUAAUGUGUGAAACUAUUUGACCAAACGAAUGAAUAUGAUUGGUGGAAGCCAAACGCAUGCACACCCUUAAUCUGAAUUUUUAUUCAUUAUUAUAUUCAUUAUUACUAUAAAAUAGAAAUUUUGUUAGUUCAAAAAUAUUUGAUGAUGCCCAUUUUUACAAGGCCGGCGACUCAUUUGUGACUGCUCUGGUGUAGCAGUUGUCAAUAGGUAGCACUGAUCGUUUACCAUCAGGUGAUCCAUCUGCUAAUUAUUGCAUAAAAAGUUAUAUAACUACAAUAGGUUUAUUGUUUGUUUAUGAAUAAAUUAUAAGUUUAAUGAUCAUGUAAAUAAAUUAAUUUUAUUGAAGUGAUAUAUUGCUAUGUUUAUGAUGUGUACCUAUGUUUGUUAUUUCCUAUAAUUUCUUUAGAUAUGAAAUAUUCUAUCUUUUUCCUUGUUAUAACAAAAUAUUCUUAUUAUUCUUAACUAUAAUUUUCACUUUUAUAUGCAAGAGUUAUUUAUACAAUCACUGAUCAAUUUUGAUUUAUAUUUCAAAGACGAGCGAUUAGGGUAACUAAUAAGUUACCCUAAUCCAAACGAAAUAGAAAUCAAAAUCAAUUGCCAAACUUAUAAAUAGGGAAUAUCAAACUAUCUGUAUAGAUAUGUACUUACAAAUGAUCUAUGUAUAGAACUUAAAUUGAUAUAAUGAGUGAUCUCGAUGAUGUUAUUAUUAUACAAUGACUGAAGUAUUUCAUUUUAUUAUAUUUUUAAUAUAAUGUUACCAAGCCAUGUAAACUGGAUAUUGAUAUAAUAUAUUUCAUAAGUCGAAUUUGAA